rnacentral:rRNA from 1 species
ACUCUUAACAACGGAUAUCUUGGUUCCCGUAUCGAUGAAGAACGCAGCAAAAUGCGAUACGUAAUGCGAAUUGCAGAAUUCAGUGAAUCAUCAAAUCUUUGAACGCAAAUUGCGCUCUCGGGAUAGGCCUGGGAGCACGCCUCUUUGAGCAUCGAUU